rnacentral:pre_miRNA from 1 species
CCUGCACCAGUGGGGUCCCUCAGCCUGGCCUACGCCCUCUUGCAAUCUGGGACCCCUCGGGGGAUGUUGGAGAGCGGUUUUGGCCCAAUCCUGCAGGCCAGGCUGAGGGACCCCACUGGUGCACA